rnacentral:tRNA from 1 species
CGCGGUGGUGCGCCGGUUCAUCCGGUCGGCCCUGCCCGGCGUGCGGCGGGCGGCGUUCACCGGUAGGUGCCGCGCCGGGGCGCAACCGGCUGUCGAGG